UAUGGCGGCUUUCCUGAAUCUAGCCGCUCGGCGAAGUUUGAAGCUCAGGCACUGUUCUUGUUCUCAGUACCGGCAGCUGUCGCUGAAGGAACCCGUUACAUAGCGCCAAGCCUCAGCUGUUCCCCAUAGCCUCUCCGUGCCUUCAAAGCCAGCGACAUGUGGAACACGCUGCUUUCACGGGACAAAGUUUGUCUGCCAGCACAAGGUUCAGAUACUGCCCAGACCCUGAGGACGCCGUCUCCUGUCCACCCGGCUUCCUUACUCUUUCCUCGGAAGUAUCCUCCGCUGUGCCUCCAGUUUGGCAUAACCCAGACAACACAUUUUUUCCCUUGCCCUUCAUUUGAUAGCUGCUUGCCUUGGGUUUUUUUUUUUUUUCUUCUGAAACUCUAAACAAUCUUCUGUGCAUAAAC